rnacentral:rRNA from 1 species
GGAGUUUGGACCGUGUCUCAGUUCCAAUGUGGGGGACCUUCCUCUCAGAACCCCUACUGAUCGUCGGCCAGGUGGGCCGUUACCCCGCCUGCAACCUAAUCAGACGCAUCCCCAUCCCAUAGCGAUGAAUCUUUCGUCCAGGUCAGAUGUCCUCUCUGGACAGCAUAGGGAAUUAAUCCGACUUUCGCCGGGCUGUGCCCUACUAUGGGGAAGGGUUGGAUACGCGUUACUCACCCGUCCGCCGCUGAAACAUUCAAAAAGCAAGCUUUCCAAAUGUCUCCGCUCGACUUGCAUGUGUUAGGCACGCCGCCAGCGUUCGUCCUCGAGCCACUGAUCAAACUACU